UCCUUGAUGGUCUAGUGACUGAGACUCUGCACUCCCAAUGCAGGGGCCCUGGGUUUGAUUCCUGGUCAGGGAA
rfam:TPA: Bos taurus chromosome 13, whole genome shotgun sequence.